rnacentral:tRNA from 1 species
CGCGGGGUUGCUGUGCGGGACGCCCGCGGCCUUCAGGGCCGUGAUCGCGGCGUUCUGCUCGCUCUUCGCAAC